UUGUAAAACGUUAUAAAUAAUAGUAAAAUAUAUUUUUUUUCACUUUCUGGUUUCAAAAUCGGCGUUAUUCUGAAUCGGCGCAAAUGGAGGGCUACCUGUACUUUAUAAUUUAGCUACAGGAAUAUUGGUAAAGAGACUGGGGAAUACUGCAGAAUGACCCUACUAGUGUUGGUCUCGGAAGUCUCCACAGCCAUCAUGACCAAGGUUUGAUUCACAGCAGGGGCAAACUUUUAUGUUCAUCACCACAUUCAGACAGGGUCCGAAGCCACCAACCAUCCAAUUCAGUGGAGAUUCCUCCACCGCAGACAAAGCUCCAUGUCCAUCUAGUGUCAAGAUAAAUAUGCCUGGAGUUUUACCAUCACUCCCUACAUUCUCAGAAGACCAUCGCCUAGCAAGUACCUAAUUUAAAUUAAAGUUUGUUGCAAGGAAUAAGAAAUGGGGUAGUUACACUGAUGGGAAAUCA